rnacentral:misc_RNA from 1 species
GGUGAUGGUGGUAUUUAUGUACAAAAAGGAUUGCUGGAGGUAAAGGUUUAUGAGGCAUGCCUUUUUUGGGCCUUGGGCCUCCACUAAGGAGCUUGCCUUGGCCAGUAGGUGUGCGCCUUAGUAACAGCGACCGCCUUUGAGCUAUGUUAUUCAAACUCUAGCACAGUUGCCGGAAAUGGGUACAUAUUCGUGUGUCAGACUUGUGAACUUUC